GAAGCAAGCCUCGAUACGCGCUUCGUGGAAACGCCCCCUCCAUUAAUCGACACACGCUUCGAAGCCGCGGCACAUCUCCUAUCGUCAGUAUUUUUUGGAGUAAAACACGCUGAAUUAGUGAGGAUGACUCCUGCUCCUGUCAUCUCUAAGCUCCUCACACAUCUUUACCUGCACAUGAGGAAAAUCACUCCUGUAGAAUGCAGAUGUUCAGAGGGAGAUGAUGCCACAUCUGGUCCAGCUGAUGGAAGGUCUUGAAGUUCUCUGACUGGCCUGGACUGAAGAUGGUCGUCUCACUGGAUUUAAGGUUCAGAUGCUCAGUAACAAACUCCACCAAUGUGCCAACAGGGAAGCUUUAGGUUUAUUAAAUGUUGCUAUGGAGGUAUCGUUGUUUUUCUUUGUAGAUGCAAUGUGCUCCAACUGAAACUUGAAUUAGAACUUAGAAGUAAAUCCUUCCAUCUGAAAGGAUUUAAUUGCAUUAAUAACCUCAUAACAUUCUAAUUUUUGUUUCAGUCUUGGCUGGAAAUAGAAUCUCUGUAUUGAUUCAGGUAAAAACUGAACUUCACAGCAUGUUGAAGCAAAACAACCAGAUGAAAACUGUGAUGGUGUUGGAUUGUCAGACCGUAAUGUUGCAGCUCAAAGCAGCUUUUCUAGCUCAGUUCAUUCUGACAUUCAGUUAUGAAUCAACACAGCAGAUGGUGAUCCAUGCUGUGGAAGUCUCACACCUCCUGAUUUAACCCUUUAAGCGCCAAAGUUGUAAUAUUGCGACAAGCAACAUUGCUGAACAUAACAAGCUAUAGCUGCAAAUAUGGUGCCUCAUAUGGUUACUACUUUACACGAGGAGAUGGCGGACAUCUGGAACUUCAAUCUGAGCAUCAUUUGUGGGCGUGUUUUCAUUCAAAGUUUUGGAGUUUGAAAACCGCCUCCCGGUCGAGGGGACGAGGGUCGUAGUCGGAGCGCAGCAGAGCGCACGACAGCCCGAGAAAACUGACCAUUCUGAGAGGUUUGUUCACUGUUGACAAAGUACUUCGUCAAGUAAUGGCUGACUCAGAUUCUGAAGAGGAAUAUUCACCCUCUGAUGAAGAUGUUCAGUCGUCCAGUGAGACAGAAAGUAACGCUGCGUCUGUGCGUAACGGCAGCGAGUCCGUGCGCCAUGAUAGUCCACAAGCAGCACAUACUGGAGCCGAUGCUUUGCUUCAACGUGUCCAGGGUGGCGUGGUGGGUGUAGCAGGGGUGGUCAAAACACCGCUAAUAGUGAGGUGGGUAGCGGGGAUGCAAAAAACCGCGGAAAUAGAGGCAGACGCGGGAGAAAAUGCACUGAUAAUGGCGGC
ensembl:lncRNA